GGGGAAAUAGCUCAGUUGGUUAGAGUGCUGGUCUGUCACGCCAGAAGUCGCGGGUUCGAACCCCGUUUUCCCGCCCG